ensembl:lncRNA LINC02207 long intergenic non-protein coding RNA 2207
ACCAUCAUGCUUUUUAGAGGCCUCUGCUCUGCCAGCCUGGGAGUCAUCUUCACCCUCAGGCUGGUAGACUCCAGUCUCUUAGGUCAGAAUGGGAUUAGAGACCCGUUCCUGAACCAGUCACACACAGCGGGUGAAACUGCUAUGAUUGGUUUAGACUUAGAGACUGGAAUGGAUGCUGGCCUAGAAGCGAAGACACAUAGAAGCAAUGUGUACCUAGACUGUUGUCCUAAAUGCCAUUUCCUACCAGGAAGGAACCAGAGUCUUUGCAGAAAUGUAUCAUUUCACAUCUGGUCCCCAGAUAGCAGAUGACUGGUAGGAAGAUGAGGCAAGUUUGCGGUCCAUUGUCAUGGAUAGUGGAGACAACACUGGGCCAGAAGUGGUAAGACCUGAAUCCAAGACUCAGCUCUGCCACUUGCUAAAUGGGACUUUGAAUAAACCAUUUCUCUGCACUUAAGUUCCUUACCAACAAAACGAGGGAAGUGGCCUACAUGCCUAGAUAUCAACAUUUCAUGUCACGUAGAGAUCUAGCAUCACAAGAAUCCAAGUCAUCCUCUGUUGCCUUUAAGAAAUUAGAAUUAAAGGAAUCAGAAUUGAAGUGAAUCUGACUACACUAAGCCUAUCACUUGUGACAGCCAUGGGAAGAUAUCAUUGGUUGCUGAGGAGCAGAAAUAAGCAGAGACCUAUUGUGUUAGGUUAUCAUUCAUUUCAGUUGUUCCCCUUUGGCCUGUGAAGAGUGGAACAGGAGUUACACAAAUAGAGAUGAUUGCCUCUCCAUCCUGACAAAGUAUGAUAAAGACCACCGAAGUGUUGUACGCAAGAAAGCACAGGAUGGCUGGGAUGAGUGAACUAUGUAUCCCAGGUUUUACUUAGGCCUCAGCAUCCAGUGGUAACCCUGUCAAUUCUUUGCUCUCUCUGAUCAUUUGCAAGUAUUGAGAGGAAGACACUAUUUUGGGGUUAAUUAGAAUCAUACAGUA